UCUCCGUAGGUGAACCUGCGGAGGGAUCAUUACAGAGUUCUCGCCCUCGCGGGUAGAUCUCCCACCCACUGUUAUCGUUACUGUGUUGCUUUGGCGGGCCGCCUGGCCCCGCUCGGCCGCCGGCUCCGGCUGGCGCGCGCCCGCGCGAGGCCCAGCAAACUCUGAAUGUCAGUGCCGUCUGAGUACUAUAUAAUAGUUAAAACUUUCAACAACGGAUCUCUUGGUUCUG
rnacentral:misc_RNA from 1 species